rnacentral:piRNA from 1 species
UAACUAUGGUUACGUACAGGAAUGUUGAU